GAUGAACGCUGGCGGCGUGCUUAACACAUGCAAGUCGAACGAUGAAGCCCAGCUUGCUGGGUGGAUUAGUGGCGAACGGGUGAGUAACACGUGAGUAACCUGCCCUUAACUCUGGGAUAAGCCUGGGAAACUGGGUCUAAUACCGGAUAGGAGCGUCCACCGCAUGGUGGGUGUUGGAAAGAUUUAUCGGUUUUGGAUGGACUCGCGGCCUAUCAGCUUGUUGGUGAGGUAAUGGCUCACCAAGGCGACGACGGGUAGCCGGCCUGAGAGGGUGACCGGCCACACUGGGACUGAGACACGGCCCAGACUCCUACGGGAGGCAGCAGUGGGGAAUAUUGCACAAUGGGCGCAAGCCUGAUGCAGCGACGCCGCGUGAGGGAUGACGGCCUUCGGGUUGUAAACCUCUUUCAGUAGGGAAGAAGCGAAAGUGACGGUA
rnacentral:rRNA from 1 species